UACGGAGAGUGCAAGCAUUAAUCGGAAUUAUUGGGCGUAAAGGGCGCGUAGGCGGGAAAAUAAGUCAGAUGUGAAAUUCCGAAGCUCAACUUCGGAGCUGCAUUUGAAACUAUUUUUCUAGAGGAUUGACGGAGAAAACGGAAUUCCACGUGUAGCGGUGAAAUGCGUAGAUAUGUGGAAGAACACCUGUGGCGAAAGCGGUUUUCUAGUUUAUACCUGACGCUGAGGCGCGAGAGCAAGGGGAGCAAACAGG
rnacentral:rRNA from 1 species